AGGGGGAAGACAUGCGGCAAACAUCACUGGGUCAAGACUUGAACCCGGGACAGCCACGUCGAGGACUAAGGCCUCUAUACAUGGGUCACACACUCCACUGCUGCGCCACAAACCAUACCCAUUUCCUCUCAUUUUUGAUGUAACAUAAUACCAUUCAAAAUCAAUGGGAAUACAAUGCCACCAGUGUCUGAAAUGGCCACACAAAGAUUACUAGCAGCAUCACUGCUGGACUGUAGCCACCCCAGAACUGUGUCUUGCUCCUGAAGCCAGCUUCUGAUUUACAAUUUCCCAGUACACCACUAACACACUGAGCCAUAUAGGGUGCUCAUCUGGGUCAGAAGUCUGAGUCAGCAAGCAUCAGGCUCCCCAGUGCAAAAAGAACAUCCCACAUUUAGAUCCAGUGGAGGAGAGGGUGGAGUGAGCAUGCUGCUUGUAAAUCACAUUACACAAAAACAAACUUCUGGAGGUCCUUGUAGUAAUGUUGUAUUGGGGUUAUAUCAGAGGCAAAUAACCAUCCAGAGUCCAGUGACUUCAGCUGAGGCCUGUUAGUGCUGCUCUACAUCAAAGAGUUGCUAUAGUUUCAGCCAACCAUCAGGAGCAGGAGGAGGAAGAGAGGAGUUGCUGAUUUUCCAUUAAGACUUAAUGGGAGACUGAGUGAAGCCAAAAGAGCAGCACAAAGAUGAGCAUUUGGCUGGAGACGACCAACAAGAGACUGGCAAAAUAAAAACUCAGGAUCAUAAAUCUGCUGUUCUGUUCCUACAGAAAAAAACUACAAAUUCUCCACUGCAGCCUCUGAGACUCAACAGAACCUGCAUUAGAAGCAGUUUUUCAUGCCCAUGGUUUAAAUGGUUUGACCACAUACAUGCUGUUUUUACUUGUUUAUUGGUUUUGCACACUGCUCAGUUGCUCAUGCUAUGUUGGUGAUCUAUUCUCUCAUUUUAUUGUGCAAGUUAUAUUCAGAUUUUCCCUGUAACGUUCUUGGUGCAAAGUAGUUUGUGAAUGUUUCUGUCCCAAUAUUUGGAUCAGUUCUCAUUAAAUUAAUCUGAGCGUUCGACAACAUCAGAAAGUCUGCCUGUUAAACCCUUUGCCAUGCAAACUGUUUAACCCCCAGCAAAUUUGUUGCGAUGACAAUUUGGAUGUGAUGGAUCUGUUUUCUGCAUCAAACCCACUUCAGUGUGCAAAGCAAUGAUGCCCAACCUGGAGGCAUCAAUGAUCUCAGAUUUGUUUGAGAUUUUGGGACCCACUGUCCUGCAUGUUUUAGAUGUUUCCAUGCUGAAACCUGCCUGAUCUGAGAUAAUGAUUCAGUAUUUCUCUAGAGGACGUCUCUAGAGGACUGUGUGUCCCUUCUGGGCUGAAAAAGCUUUAAGGUCCACUAUGAAGGGGAUCUCAAUUCUUCCUAUGAAGUUUCCUUCAUAGGGGAUUUUCAUAGGAAGUUAACUGAUCUCAGAUAAGCAAAUUUGUAAGUGGCUAAGAGGCUUAUGAAACCACUAGAUUCCAGCAAAGAAGAAGGGAAAUGUCUUAAAGAUCCAGG